UACGUAGGUGGCAAGCGUUAUCCGGAAUUAUUGGGCGUAAAGCGCGCGUAGGCGGUUUUUUAAGUCUGAUGUGAAAGCCCACGGCUCAACCGUGGAGGGUCAUUGGAAACUGGAAAACUUGAGUGCAGAAGAGGAAAGUGGAAUUCCAUGUGUAGCGGUGAAAUGCGCAGAGAUAUGGAGGAACACCUGUGGCGAAGGCGACUUUCUGGUCUGUAACUGACGCUGAUGUGCGAAAGCGUGGGGAUCAAACAGG
rnacentral:rRNA from 1 species